GAUCAGUGGCUCAGGACGACGCUGGCGGCGUGCUUAACACAUGCAAGUCGAGCGGGGAUACGAGGGAGCUUGCUCCUGAGUAUUCUAGCGGCGGACGGGUGAGUAACGCGUGAGCAACCUUUCUCUCAGUGGGGAAUAACACAGGGAAACUUGUACUAAUACCGCAUGAGACCACAGAACCGCAUGGUUUAGGGGUCAAAGAUUUAUUGCUGAGAGGUGGGCUCGCGUCUGAUUAGGUAGUUGGUGAGGUAACGGCCCACCAAGGCGACGAUCAGUAGCCGGCCUGAGAGGGUGAACGGCCACAUUGGGACUGAGACACGGCCCAAACUCCUACGGGAGGCAGCAGUGGGGAAUAUUGCACAAUGGGGGAAACCCUGAUGCAGCGACGCCGCGUGAGUGAAGAAGUAUUUCGGUACGUAAAGCUCUAUCAGCAGGGAAGAAAAUGACGGUACCUGACUAAGAAGCUCCGGCUAAAUACGUG
rnacentral:rRNA from 1 species